UCUCAGCUCCUCCCUCUCGCUGUUCGGGUCCUAGGCACAGGCUGGGCACCCCCCAACCCGCCCACCGCGGCCCUGGGCCCCCACCCCGACCCCGCCCCUCCUCCCAGCCGCCCCGGCCUGCUCUCACACCUGCCGCCAGCUCGGGUCCUGCUUUUGCACCGUAGAGAGACGGCGUCGAGAUCCUGGCCUAGGGUGGGCACCAGGUGCAAAGCCGAGGGAGCGCGCAAGAGAGGGCCGGCAGCCCCUCACCCCGGGGGAGGUGGGCGAUUCGGGACUGAAGUACAGACGUCCCUGGCCCGCCGGGCUGGGGGCGGGGAGGAGGGGGUGGAGCCGCCGGGGAGGGCGGUGCCGCGGGGAGCGGAGCCCAGCCUCUCCCCCCACCCGCUUUGGUGCCGGAGUCUCAGUGACAAAAAGCUCCCGCUUGGUGCCCAGCGCCUGGCGGCGGUGUCCGACCGCGAACGCAGAGGGCGGCCACGCAGGUGGGGGUGUAGCCCGAAGGGCCGGGCCGGGAGCUGGGGCUGCAGGCUCCGCCGCUGCGCUGUCAGCGCCUGCCCCGUGGCUCUCGGCUGGAGGAGCGGCGGCCGCCUGCCCGGGGCGCGCGUCUGGCUGAGCGGGGCUGGCGCGUCGGGACCACCUGGCGAUGCUGUCGCCGCCGCCGCCGCCUCUGUAGCGAGCGCCCAAGCCCGCCGCGGAGAAAGGCUGAAGAAAGCUCAGUCUCAAUUGUGUUUCCUGCCUGUCAGCCUCUUGCCUCCUAAACGCGUACCAUUUCCACUUGAUGUCAUCAUGCAGAAGGGGGUGAAAGAGACUCGGUGACAGAUUCAGGAGUUUGGAUGAAUGAAUGGAGGCUCGAACAAGCAAAGGAACAGACAAAUGAUUAACAC
rnacentral:lncRNA from 1 species